AUUUUUGAAUGAUGAUAUAAUUUGCGUUUGAAGUUGAAGUAAUCAGGGACAACGCCUAGUUCCACAUUGGUUUUUCAAAUCAUGUAAACAGCUUUCUACUGAUCAAGAG
rnacentral:snoRNA from 1 species